UGAGACAAGGUCCUAACUUUAGA
rnacentral:siRNA from 1 species